AUGGGACACCCUGGUGGCUCUACCACUCGGGCAGUGUGGAAUACUCUCUGGAAACUUCAGAUUCCACGUAAAGUACAGAUUUUUUGUUGGCGAGCACUGCGAGGAGUUAUCCCACUAAAAGCUAUACUUACUAACAGGCACAUUGGUUCCAAUGGUGCUUGUCCUAUCUGUCAUCAAGGGGCCGAGGAUAUCCGUCACUUAAUGUUUUUAUGCUCAAAUGCACGACACUUGUGGACGAAGCUGGACAUCACAAAUAUCAUCGACCAAGCGAUCCAGGUUGAUAGAUCGGGGUCUGCGAUCUUGGAAUUUAUCUUAUCAUUGCCGGACCAGCAGCUUGAGAUGCACCCAAUAAUUAACUUCAAACAAGUAAUAGCCGUUGGGGGCUGGUACCUUUGGUGGAUCCGUAAAAAAGUGACGCACAAUGAAUCAAUUCCUCCCCCUUGGAGGUGGGCACUCUCUGUGUUAUCAAUCUCAAGCAACCAUCAGAGGGCUACAUCGCUGGUGAGAAUUUCCCCUGAAGCAAAGUGGUGUAAGCCGGACCCUCGGUUCAUUAAGUUAAAUGUUGAUGCGGCGUACUACUCGGACGAAGGGGUAGGUGCUACGGCGGCUAUCCUGCGUGAUGACAAAGGUAAUUUCUUGGGAGCCCAAUGCAAGUUUAUACCUGUUGCGGUGGAUGCAAUAACAACAGAAGCGUUAGCCAUGCGAGACGGACUGAUUUUUGCUAACUCCUUUGGGUGUAACCAGGUAGAAGCUGAAUCAAAUUCUUUGCAAGUACUCAAUUAUUGUGAUGGACAAACCAUAUGGUGGGACUCGGCGGCGGCAAUAUUCGCAGAAUGUUUGGACACUAGUACUUCAAUAGGGAAGGUCGUUUAUAAGCAUUGUUAUAGAUCUUGUAAUCAAGUGGCUCAUAUGCUAGCUCAUUUUAGUUACUGUAAUAAGACUUCAUUUAGUUGGUUGGACGAGCCCCUUGACAAUAGCUCGUAG
rnacentral:rRNA from 1 species